rnacentral:lncRNA from 1 species
UACUCUCAUGUUAUUGUUUACUCUGAAUUGCUAGAGACUAGCAAUAAGCUAGUUGGGGGGUAUGAUGAGAGCACAAAAGUGCGAUCUAAGUACCAAUUAACUUAGCCUAAUGCUAGCAAAAUAAUGAUAAAUAAUAGGUGUUAACAUUUACAUGAUUAAAUAUUUUAUCCUUAGCACUUAUUAUAAUUUUUAUCAUUAUAUAAAGUCAUCUCUUUCCAGCUACAGAACAGAGCCCAGAUUCAGCCGUUCGCAAGCACCUCAGCAUCCUUGCCGCGUCCGUGAACCACAUCAGCCCUCUCAAGAUCCGCCUGCGUCUCAGGAUCUGUGAUCGAAUCACACUGCGAUCAGGACUUUCUCCCGUGCGUCCAUGAAGCAUCCAGCCGUCCACGGUUCAUCUCCCAUAUCCUGCAUCCGAGUCCCAGUUCACACCAUCGGUCAGCGUCCGCAUGUGAUCAGCUCCCAGCAUUCAUCAUCUCCCGAGCAACUCGCUUCCCA